GGUCAUGAGUGCCAGCACGGAGCCCCGGCUUGCUGGCCGGCAACCCUCCUUCCGCGGUGGGGUGCCCCGGGUGAGGACCAGGUCCGGUGUCGCGACGACGCCGGUCAAGCGCGGGUU
rnacentral:ncRNA from 2 species